GCGUCGGUGGUGCAACGGGUUAGAGAACGCACAUCUGGAUUGAGUGGAAUGCGAGUUCGAAUCCCGUCUGACGCA